UCCCCAAAGCGGGCCAGCAAAAUGAGUCAGUAAGAAGUAGAACUUCCAUUCAGGGACAGAAGUCCUGGGAAGUUUCCACGUAUACUCAAGAGGCGCAGGCUAAUGAUAAGAGUGUAUCAGCUUGAGAGUGCAAGAGAGGAGAUGGAGCAAGAUGGAAGAAUAGAAGAAGACUCUACUGCUUGUCCCCCUGACAAGGACACCAAUGGCACAAAAAAGCACCUUUGUAAGAAACAAAAAUCAGUUUAACAUCUGGAAGGGAUGAAGACAAGUCAGCUUUGUGGCGAUCAACAAUGUCCACAGUACUGGCAACCAAUGCUCAGGUGCCCUUGGCCCUUCCUGACUGCCUUAUGAAAAAAUCAAGUACCAUCCAAAUAACUGACACAACGAACCUGAGAGAAAUAAAACUACUGGGAAGAUUAUUGAGCUCCUCCUCCAACG